AUUGAACGCUGGCGGCAUGCCUUACACAUGCAAAUCGAACGGUAACGGGCCUUCGGGUGCCGACGAGUGGCGAACGGGUGAGUAAUACAUCGGAACGUGCCCGAUCGUGGGGGAUAACGAGGCGAAAGCUUUGCUAAUACCCCAUACGAUCUACGGAUGACAGCAGGGGACCGCAAGGCCUUGCGCGGACGGAGCGGCCGAUGGCAGAUUAGGUAGUUGGUGGGAUAAAAGCUUACCAAGCCGACGAUCUGUAGCUGGUCUGAGAGGAUGAUCAGCCACACUGGGACUGAGACACGGCCCAGACUCCUACGGGAGGCAGCAGUGGGGAAUUUUGGACAAUGGGCGCAAGCCUGAUCCAGCCAUGCCGCGUGCAGGAUGAAGGCCUUCGGGUUGUAAACUGAUUUUGUACGGAACGAAAAGCCUUCUUUUAAUACAGGAGGGUCAUGACGGUACCGUAAGAAUAAGCACCGGCUAACUACGUG
rnacentral:rRNA from 1 species